UACGGGGGUGCGAGCGUUGUCCGGAUUCACUGGGCGUAGAGGGCGCGUAGGCGGCCCGAUCAGUCCGGCUUGUAAGCGCGGGGCUCACCCCCGUGUUGGGCCGGGGACGGUCGGGCUGGGGCGCGGCAGAGGGGUGCGGAAUGCCGGGUGUAGUGGUGAAAUGCGUAGAGAUGUGGAGGAACACCGAUGGCGAAGGCAGCCCCCUGGGUCGACACUGACGCUCAUGCACGAAAGCCAGGGGAGCGAACGGG
rnacentral:rRNA from 1 species